CCUACGGGAGGCAGCAGUGAGGAAUAUUGGUCAAUGGGCGUAAGCCUGAACCAGCCAAGUCGCGUGAGGGAUGAAGGUUCUAUGGAUCGUAAACCUCUUUUAUAAGGGAAUAAAGUGUGGGACGUGUCCUAUUUUGUAUGUACCUUAUGAAUAAGGAUCGGCUAACUCCGUGCCAGCAGCCGCGGUAAUACGGAGGAUCCGAGCGUUAUCCGGAUUUAUUGGGUUUAAAGGGUGCGUAGGCGGACUUUUAAGUCAGCGGUGAAAGUCUGUGGCUCAACCAUAGAAUUGCCGUUUAAACGGGGGGGCUUGAGUAUGUUUGCGGCAGGCGGAAUGCGUGGUGGAGCGGUGAAAUGCUUAGAUAUCACGCAGAACCCCGAUUGCGAAGGCAGCCUGCCAAGCCAUGACUGACGCUGAUGCACGAAAGCGUGGGGAUCAAACAGGAUUAGAUACCCCUGUAGUC
rnacentral:rRNA from 1 species